CACUCUGACUCCUCUCCCUCUCAUGGUUCCUCCUCUGGCUGUCCUUCGCCUCGUGGUAGCCCAGACCCUCCUUGGCCCAUUUCACCAAGGCAUUUAUCUCUCCUCAUGUAUAAAUCCAGGAUCAAUUCAUUUCCAAACUGCAUACACUCACAUUUGCACACAGUUCAUGAUCCACUGAAGCCUGUGGAUUUGACUCAAACAUGGGACCUUCAAGAUGAAGCUUAGGACCUUGAAGAUUAGCUUGGGACCCCCAUACAAAGUGCCACAAGGUUUAGUGUGGUGCGGCGACUAUGCCUGAUGAACGAGCCCCCCAUAACCCACUUAGCCAGGGGGGUAGCUUUUUGGCCGACUCGGUAGGGAGUGGCUCUCCUGUCACGCUGGUCGCGGGUUCAGUCCCAGGCAGCCGGGAAUACCCUCUCCUUGCCGUGAUUAAUUUCUCGUGUGUUUCGAGAUACAGGCAGAGGGCGUGUGGGGCCGAGAGAGUAAUAGAAAAAGAGAUAGAAAAUCUCUUCAUUAAAUUAGGACCUCUUAGGAAAUACUAAUUAAGUCCUUGAUAUUAUUAUCAUUUUUAUGAGAAUUUUCCUUUUCACUUUUCUUGUUCUUGUGUUUUUUUAUUUAAACAUUAACAUUAGUAAUGGCUUGCUCCAUCUGUCUUGGGGCUCCAUUCAUUCUCACACGCCCGGUAGCUCAGUGGUUAGAGCGUCUGGCUCACAACCAUAAGGACCGGGAUCGAUUCCCCGGCCGGGUGAAGAUAAGUUGGGUUUAUCUUCUUUCACGUGUAGCCCCUGUUCACCUAGCAGUGAGUAGGUACGCGACGUCAGGCAAGGAGCUGUGACCUCGUUGUCGCGGUGUGUAGUGUGUGAGUGGUCUCAGUCCACCCAAAGAUCGGUACUAUGAGCUCUGUUCUCUUCCGUAGGGGAACGGCUGGCUGUCUGACCCGCAGCAGACCAAGAGCAGAAUUACACUGGAGAGCACAGUGGUCACCCAGCAGACCAGCAGCAAACACCAGAAAAUGAGAAAAAUUGUCCCUCAAUGCUUGAAGGACGGUUACUCUGGGCUGCUCCACGUGGCUGCUCCAUCUGCCGGGGCCGACGAUGCAAGUCUCCCUUUCAGAAUUCACCACAACCAAGUGUUACCAAGUGAGGCGAGGAUGGCCCAGGGCACCACCACCACCAUCGCCACAGUCACCUCCAGAAAGCAACACCGCAUCAUUUUUUUUUUCACAGCUAAAGAAUCGCCUCAAGGGCAACAAAAAAGGUGUAAAAUAAAAAGCCCGCUAAUCGCUGAUCCCACAAAGACAAUAGUGAAAGGUGGCCAAAAGAGAGAUUUGGAGGAAGAAGAGGAGGAGGAAGAGAUAACAAGAGGAACAGAAGAAGGAGAAGAAGUAAUCUCUCUCUCUCUCUCUCUCUCUCUCUCUCUCUCUCUCUCUCUCUCUCUCUCUCUCUCUCUCUCUCUCUCUCUCUCUCUCUCUCUCUCUCUCUCUCUCUCUCUCUCUCUCUCACACACACACACACACACACACACUCACAGUAAAACAUAUAAUUUCUUCAUAAUUUCAAAAACUUUAUUAAUAUAUAUUUUGACAACGUCCAAUCAGGUUCCACAGACUGGCUCCUCCCCGAACCCUUCUGUGGGGGCAUAAUUUGAGCCCCAUAGAAGGCCGGGGGAAGAUCUAGCUUAUGGAACCUUAUACACAGACAUACAUAUACACACACAGAGAGUACCUCUUCUCUCUCUUUCCUCCUCCUCCUCCUCUUCCUCUUGAUGUGGCAGUGUCAGGAGAGGAGAGCACCUGGGAGAUUGAACAAGUCCUGGAGAUGUUGAAA